rnacentral:rRNA from 1 species
UGAAACUGCGAAUGGCUCAUUAAAUCAGUUAUAGUUUAUUUGAUAGUACAUUAUCACUUGGAUAACCGUGGUAAUUCUAGAGCUAAUACAUGCUAAAAAUCCCGACUUCUGGAAGGGAUGUAUUUAUUAGAUAAAAAACCAAUAGCUCCGUAA